rnacentral:lncRNA from 1 species
CGCUCGGCUAGGGAUGUGUAAGAUGGCACACAGCCACACCCGAAAACAGGUUGGAGAUCACUCACGCUGGGCUGGUGGGAUGUAAGAUGGCACAGCCGCCCGGAAAACAGGUUGGAGAUCACUCAAACAGGUUGGAGAUCACUCACGCCAGACUGGUGGGAUGUUAAGAUGGCACAGCCGCCCGGAAAACAGGUUGAGGUCACCUGCCAUCGGGCUGGUGGGAUGCAAGACGCACAGUCACCUGAAAACAGGUUUGAGAUCACUUCCACAGCCAGCUGGUGGGAUGUAAGAUGGCCA